rnacentral:rRNA from 1 species
AUUGAACGCUGGCGGCAUGCCUUACACAUGCAAGUCGAACGGCAGCACGGGAGCAAUCCUGGUGGCGAGUGGCGAACGGGUGAGUAAAGUAUCGGAACGUGCCCAGUCGUGGGGGAUAACGUAGCGAAAGUUACGCUAAUACCGCAUACGAUCUAUGGAUGAAAGCGGGGGAUCGCAAGACCUCGCGCGAUUGGAGCGGCCGAUAUCAGAUUAGGUAGUUGGUGGGGUAAAGGCUCACCAAGCCGACGAUCUGUAGCUGGUCUGAGAGGACGACCAGCCACACUGGGACUGAGACACGGCCCAGACUCCUACGGGAGGCAGCAGUGGGGAAUUUUGGACAAUGGGCGAAAGCCUGAUCCAGCCAUGCCGCGUGCAGGAUGAAGGCCUCCGGGUUGUAAACUGCUUUUGUACGGAACGAAAAGGUUUGGCCUAAUAAGCUGAGCUCAUGACGGUACCGUAAGAAUAAGCACCGGCUAACUACGUGCAGCAGCCGCCGUAA